UUACGACCAUAUCAUGUUGUGACACCGGUUCCCGUACGAUCACCGAAGUUAAGCAACAUUGAGUGUGAUCAGUACCUAGAAGGGUGACCGCUUGGGAAUACCAGGUGCUGUAAG